CAGCAGCCACGGUAAUACGUAGGGUGCGAGCGUUAAUCGGAAUUACUGGGCGUAAAGCGUGCGCAGGCGGUUGUGUAAGACAGGUGUGAAAUCCCCGGGCUUAACCUGGGAACUGCGCUUGUGACUGCACAGCUAGAGUAUGGCAGAGGGGGGUGGAAUUCCACGUGUAGCAGUGAAAUGCGUAGAGAUGUGGAGGAACACCGAUGGCGAAGGCAGCCCCCUGGGCCAAUACUGACGCUCAUGCACGAAAGCGUGGGGAGCAAAUAGGAUUAGAUACCCGCGUAGUCCCUGUCUCUUAUAC
rnacentral:rRNA from 1 species